rnacentral:lncRNA from 1 species
CAGAAAUGGCUGACCAUGGGAAAGAUGGAAGUCACACAACGGUCACUGUGCCCCCAGACAAUGUCAAGGCCACCACAUAAGGCUGGCCGAAAUUUGGAUAAUGUGAUCACAGGUCAACAUUAGUCUAUAAAGGAGCACCUGGAACCACCAAGCUAUCAAGUCAAGAUGGACAGACCAAAAAG